CCCCUCUCAGGAUCGAAUCUGGAGAGUUUCCAGCACUCUAACAGGCUCAACUACGGGAGGGAGAAUCAAGUAGAGUCAUGCCCAUUCCAUUUCUAGCUUGGACAAAAGCUAGUGAGUGGAAGGCAAUCUACUACAAGU